rnacentral:rRNA from 1 species
CCUAAGGUAGCGAAAUUCCUUGUCGGGUAAGUUCCGACCCGCACGAAAGGCGUAACGAUCUGGGAACUGUCUCAACAAUAGACUCGGUGAAAUUGUAGUACCGGUAAAGAUGCCGGUUACCCGCAGCAGGACGGAAAGACCCCGUGGAGCUUUACUGUAGCUUGAUAUUGAGUUUCGGCGUUGCAUGUACAGGAUAGGUGGGAGACGAUGAGAUGAGUACGCCAGUAUUCAUGGAGUCACUGUUGGGAUACCACCCUUGUAACGUUGAGGUUCUAACGGUGUGCCGUAAUCCGGCAUCCGGACAGUGUCAGGUGGGCAGUUUGACUGGGGCGGUCGCCUCCUAAAGAGUAACGGAGGCGCCCAAAGGUACCCUCAGAUUGGUUGGAAAUCAAUCGACGAGCGCAAAUGCAGAAGGGUGCUUGACUGCAAGACAGACAAGUCGAGCAGGGACGAAAGUCGGGAUUAGUGAUCCGGCGGUGCAGAAUGGAAUGGCCGUCGCUUAACGGAUAAAAGCUACCCUGGGGAUAACAGGCUGAUCUCGCCCAAGAGUUCACAUCGACGGCGAGGUUUGGCACCUCGAUGUCGGCUCAUCGCAUCCUGGAGCUGAAGUCGGUUCCAAGGGUUGGGCUGUUCGCCCAUUAAAGCGGUACGCGAGCUGGGUUCAGAACGUCGUGAGACAGUUCGGUCCCUAUCUGUUGUGGGCGUAGGAAAUUUGAGGAGAGCUGUCCUUAGUACGAGAGGACCGGGAUGGACCCACCGCUGGUGCACCAGUUGUAUCGCCAGAUGCAUAGCUGGGUAGCUAAGUGGGGAACGGAUAAACGCUGAAGGCAUCUAAGCGUGAAACCGACUCCGAGAUGAGAUUUCCCAUUUCCAAGAGAAAGUAAGACCCCUUGAAGACGACGAGGUAGAUAGGUCAGAGAUGGAAGCACAGCGAUGUGUGGAGUUGACUGAUACUAAUCGGUCGAGGAUUUAAUCAC